CCGAAAGCAGUAUUUUCGAAACCGUGCCUGCACGGGUGAGGAAAAAAACUGCUUGAGGCGCCCCGCAUGAGCAAGGAGCGGGGGAGGGGGCCCCGCGGAUUGCGAAUGAGGGAGGAUUGUGAGAGCGCGAAGCGCGGAACAAUCCGU
rnacentral:sRNA from 1 species